AACGAACGCUGGCGGCAGGCCUAACACAUGCUAGUCGAGCGAAGCCUUCGGGCUUAGCGGCGGACGGGUGAGUAACGCGUGGGAACGUGCCCUUUGGUACGGAAUAGCCCCGGGAAACUGGGAGUAAUACCGUAUGUGGUCGAGAGACGAAAGAUUUAUCGCCAAAGGAUCGGCCCGCGUUGGAUUAGGUAGUUGGUGGGGUAAUGGCCUACCAAGCCGACGAUCCAUAGCUGGUUUGAGAGGAUGAUCAGCCACACUGGGACUGAGACACGGCCCAGACUCCUACGGGAGGCAGCAGUGGGGAAUCUUAGACAAUGGGGGAAACCCUGAUCUAGCCAUGCCGCGUGAUCGAUGAAGGCCUUAGGGUUGUAAGGAUCUUUCAGUGGGGAAGAUAAUGACUGUACCCACAGAAGAAGCCCCGGCUAACUCCGUGCAGCCGCCGCCGUAAUAC
rnacentral:rRNA from 1 species